UUCAAUCAUUUCUGCAUUUCACGUUUCUCUCUUCUUCUCCCUCCACUCACUUUCCACAUCUCUCAAAACCCAACUUACUUGACCAUCACCGCUGCCAUUCACUCUUUUUCGCAUCCACGAAGUUCAUCUUAAGUUGGUUAUAGCCGUUAUACGCAUUAAAAAGUGAGAACAUCUUAGGCCCAGAUGGCACCUGUGACAAUUUCAGAGAACAGUGGCUUGGAAAAAACUAUGAGGCCGCUAAGGCUAAGCGGUGAAAUAACAGUUACGCCCCGAGAUCAGAACGAAGGAGAAGUAAGGGAGCUUUGAUAGUUUUUUUCACCGACAGAGAGACCGAACUCUGAUCGAAGGAGAAAGAAGAGAACGAUAGAAUUGAGGAAGGAUCUGUCGGCCGGCCUUUCAACUCGAUCCCCCAACAAAAGAUCAGAGGAGCAAAGAAUAUGAGUAAGUACACACUGGAUGCCUCUGUAACUUCUAAGGGAGAAUCAAACAUGGACUUCUCCGCCUUGGAUGAGAAGCUUGGAAAGGGUAUUGCCGAGGCAUUGUUGACGAUGAUUCGCGAAGCUGUUGUGCAAGGGAUAACAACAGUUCUCCCAGAGAUUGUGAAAACGGUUGGUUUCUCACCAAAAAGUGAGAGUGACGGACUGACGGUGUAAAGCUUUCGAAUACUGCUCCAGUUGUUACACCACCGUCGGACACUUUGAAACGCAUAAAGCUUUCGAAUACUGCUCCAGUUGUAACUCCGCUGUCGGACCCUUUGAAAGAAAUACUUGAUGCCGAUCCCUCAAUGUGUUUGGGUGACGAACCAGUCACGAAGAAGAGUACUUAGAGGUGCAAGGAAAAAAAGCGUGGAUUACUGGUCUCCGUAGUUAAGGUUUUAUGUUUUUAUUUUUAAAUAACAACUAUUAAAUACCACUUAGAUAGCAUUUGAUCAAAAUAGUACACAAUAGAAAGAAGUUAUAGUUCACAAAGUACAACAUCAUUUAACCAUUGGAUUUGCCACUGUUCCCAUUUAAGGGUGAAGAACUUUUUAGUAUUCUCACAUAUUAUAAUAUUAAUGUUAAGCCAUAAAAUACAA